GAUGAACGCUGGCGGCGUGCUUAACACAUGCAAGUCGAACGGUGAACGAGGGAGCUUGCUCCCUCCGGAUCAGUGGCGAACGGGUGAGUAACACGUGAGCAAUCUGCCCUGGACUCUGGGAUAAGCGUUGGAAACGACGUCUAAUACCGGAUACGAGACGUGAAGGCAUCUUCAACGUCUGGAAAGAACUUCGGUCCAGGAUGAGCUCGCGGCCUAUCAGGUAGUUGGUGAGGUAACGGCUCACCAAGCCUACGACGGGUAGCCGGCCUGGGAGGGUGACCGGCCACACGGGGACUGAGACACGGCCCAGACUCCUACGGGAGGCAGCAGUGGGGAAUAUUGCACAAUGGGCGCAAGCCUGAUGCAGCAACGCCGCGUGAGGGACGACGGCCUUCGGGUUGUAAACCUCUUUUAGCAGGGAAGAAGCGAAAGUGACGGUACCUGCAGAAAAAGCACCGGCUAACUACGUGCCAGCCGCCGCCGUAAUAC
rnacentral:rRNA from 1 species